AUGGACUGGAGCUGGAGAGUCCUCUUCCUGGUGGCACUGGCUGCAGGUGUCCACUCCCAGGCCCAGCUGGUGCAGUCUGGGGCUGAGCUGAAGAAGCCGGGGACGUCCGUGAAGAUCUCCUGCAAGGUGUCCGGAUACACGUUCACCAGCUACAAUAUGCAGUGGGUGCGGCAGGCCCCUGGACAAGGGCUCGAGUGGAUGGGAUACAUCAACCCUAGCAGUGGAGGCACAGGCUAUGCACAGAAGUUCCAGGGCCGAGUCACCCUGACCAGGGACACGUCCACGAGCACAGCCUUCAUGGAGCUGAGGAGUCUGAGACCCGAGGACACGGCCGUGUAUUACUGUGCGAGAGACACAGCGUGA